rnacentral:misc_RNA from 1 species
UACAGAGGUCCCGAGCGUUGUCCGGAAUUAUUGGGCGUAAAGAGCUCGUAGGUGGUUUGUCGCGUUGUUCGUGAAAACUCACAGCUUAACUGUGGGCGUGCGGGCGAUACGGGCAGACUUGAGUACUGCAGGGGAGACCGGAAUUCCUGGUGUAGCGGUGGAAUGCGCAGAUAUCAGGAGGAACACCGGUGGCGAAGGCGGGUCUCUGGGCAGUAACUGACGCUGAGGAGCGAAAGCGUGGGGAGCGAACAGG